CCUACGGGUGGCAGCAGUGGGGGAUAUUGCACAAUGGGGGGAACCCUGAUGCAGCGACGCCGCGUGGGUGAAGGAGUGCUUCGGCAUGUAAAGUCCUAUCGGCAGGGAAGAAGCAAGAGGGUAUCUGACUAAGAAGCAACGGCUAACCACGCGCCAGAAGCCGCGGCUAGACGUAGGGGGCAAGCGUUAGUCGGAUUUACUGGGCGUAAAGGGGGCGCAGAUGGCAGGUCAAGCCAGAUGUGAAAGCCCGGGGCCCAACCCGGGAACUGCUCCUGGGACUGCGCGGCUGGAGGGCAGGAGGGGCGGGUGGAAUUCCAGGUGUAGCGGUGAAAUGCGUAGAGAUCAGGAGGAACACCGGUGGCGAAGGCGGCCUGCUGGACGACGAAUGACGUUGAGGUCCGAAAGCGUGGGGAGCAAACAGGAUUAGAUACCCGGGUAGUC
rnacentral:rRNA from 1 species